UUUAAGCGUAGUCAUAAGUUUUCGUGUACAUCUUUGAUCGUAUACUUUAUUUAAAAUACUUUUCAAAAAAUUAAAGAACAUAAGUCACACAUAAAAGUAUUAUUUAUAUUUUAUCAUCUAAUAAUAAUAAAAAUACUCUCUCCGUCCCAAAAUGUAGCAACAUAGGAUGGGAUGACACCCAUUAUAGGACUAUGAAUCUGGACAUACUCAUUAAUAAAAAAAAAGUUAAAUAAAACAGAUGAUCAAAGUUGAACACAAAAACUUAUGACUGCGCUUAAA
rnacentral:pre_miRNA from 1 species